rnacentral:lncRNA from 1 species
AAUAUAAGUUCCAGAUUGGAGGCUUUAGAAUACAAUAGGCAAGAACAAUGAUUUAUCUUUAAUUGGAAUCAACUCUUGGUAACAUUAUAAUACUUUAAACCCAACUUCUACAACCAGGUUCAUCCGAUUCAUAGACCUUUUUCAUGAAACAAAAAUAAAUUUUCGUUUGCAAUCUUCAAGCACAACAAUUUCUUAUCCUCCAAAUUCUUUCAUACCACACAACAAACGUCAUUAUACCUAUCGUCUAUAGAGGUUCGUAUUAGUCGCAAUUGAAGGAAAUGGAUGACGUCGAUGUAAAAGAGUGAACAAAGUUUAUAGAAUUGCAGAUGUAAAACUUACCGGAUACGCGAAAUAAAAGACGUUUGACGCCCAAUUUGGAACACCAAUCUGAGUCUUCGGAUCGAUGAGAUCACUUUUCACGUUGAUACCUGAAAAUAAUGACGAAGCGGUGCAGAUAUGUGAAGAGAUAUGAACAAUGAAGAAACAGAGGAAGCGGUGCGCAUUAGGAGGUUUUGUAGACUUUUCUAUAGCGAGCAGAUGUCUCACAGUGAAUAGUGGGUUGAUUAGAUAGAAAAAGUACAAAAUUGUAAUUGAAAACAAUCACCCAAAGUCCCAAACCCAGAUUUCAGAAAUUUAUAAGCAAAGAACGGGCAAAGAGGGACAUGGAGAGAAUGACCAGAAGUUAAUGAACGGUAGUAGCUUUCUAGGUGCAAACUGCCUCUGGAAGCAAUCGCCAUUCUCAAUCGGUUCUCUUUCACUUUCUCAUCCGUCUCUAUCUCUUUCUGCCUUUCUCAGCCAUCUCUAUCUCUUUUUGCGUGGCAACAGAAGAAAGACACGCGUGAUAGUGCGGUGGCAACCCAGAAGAGGCGGUUAGGGAGAAAAUAGUAGAACCGUGAAUAA